CGGAUAAUGUUUGUUUCAUCGACAAAAUUUGAGUGCAUGCAUUAGAUGCUGCCAUAUAUUCUGCUUCAGUUGUGGAUAAAGCAAUACUAUUUUGUUUUUUACAUGACCAUGCUACGAGUGAGCUUCCCAACAGAAAGCAUGUUCCACUAGUGCUUUUUCUGUCAGUCUUACAUCCACCAAAGUCAGCAUCACAAUAUGCUGUCAGUGUGAAUGAGUUGUCCUUAGGGUAGAAUAAUCCAAGUGUAAUUGUUCCUUUGAUAUACCUGAUUAUUCUUUUAACCGCUUUGAGAUGUGACUCUUUUGGGUCUGAUUGGAAUCUGGCACAUAAGCAGACUGCAAACAUGAUGUCUGGUCUGCUGGCUGUUAGGUAUAGCAGUGAUCCAAUCAUUCCUCUGUAUUUCUUAAUGUCUACUGAUUGACCUUCAACAUCUUUGUCCAAUUUAAGAGUUGAACUCAUCGGAGUUGGCAUAGAUUUAGAUUCAGUCAAGUCAAAUUUCUUUAUUAAUUCCUUAGCAUAUUUGACUUGACUUAGGAAUAUUCCAUUCUCCUUCUGUUUAACUUGUAGACCUAAGAAAAAAGUCAACUCUCCCAUCAUACUCAUUUCAAAUUCGUCUUCCAUUUGUUUGGAAAAUUUCUUACAUAGAGUAUCAUCGGUUGAUUCAAAUAUAAUGUCAUCAACAUAGAUUUGAAUUAGAAUAAUGUCACUUUUGACAUUUUUAAUGAACAAUGUAUUAUCUAUACUCCCCAUUCUAAAUUCCUGAGAAGUGAGAAAGUUUCUUAGUCUUUCAUACCAAGCUCGGGGUGCUUGUUUCAGGCCAUAGAGGGCUUUCUUAAGUUUAAGGACGUGAUCAGGGUUUUUGUAAUCUUCGAAACCAGGGGGUUGUCUAACAUAUACUUGUUCAUUGACUAUUCCAUUCAAGAAUGCACUCUUUACAUCCAUUUGAUAUAAUUUGAAAUCUUUGUAGCAUGCAAAGGAUAGGAGCAUUCUGAUAGACUCUAGUCUAGCUACUGGUGCAAAGGUUUCAUCAUAAUCAAUUCCUUCUUGUUGAUUGUAUCCUUGCGCAACCAGUCUAGCUUUGUUUCUUAUUAUAGUUCCAUCUUCAUCCAGCUUGUUUCUGAAUACCCAUCUUGUCCCAAUGAUUGAUGUGUCUUUUGGUUUUGGAACUAGUUCCCAUACAUCAUUUCUUUCAAAUUGGUUGAGUUCUUCUUGCAUAGCUUGAAUCCAGUAGUUGUCGUCGAGGGCUUCAUCAACUUUCUUGGGCUCAAUUUGAGAGACAAAACAGUCAAGAACACUGUUUCCUUGAAUGGAUGAUCUGGUUUUAACACCAGCUUGAUGGUCACCAAUGAUUUGAUCAGUGGAGUGUGGGUUCCUGAGCAACCUGUUGGAUGGAGGCUCAAAGACUUCGAUUUCGACAUUGGUAGUUUCUUCAUUUGGAAUGAUGAUUUCUUGUUCUGAAACUAUUUCAUCUUCUUCUACAAUGGUUGUCUGAGUGGAUUCAUCAAAGUCAACGUGUAAUGAUUCGAUCAUUAUUUGUUUUUCUUUGAGAAGAAUUUUGUAAGCUUUGCUUCUUCUAGAGUAUCCUACCAGGAUACCUUCAUCAGAUUUCUGAGCAAAUUUAUCUUGGUUGCCUCUUGUUCGGAGAACAUAACAUUUGCAUCCAAAGACCUUGAAGUAUGAGACUUUUGGCUUUCUUCCAUUCCAGAUCUCAUAUGGAGUUUUGUUCAAGGUUUUUCUAAUAAUCACCUUGUUUAAUAUAUAACAGGCUGUGUUAACAGCUUCUGCCUAAAGAUACUGUGGUGAAUCAUGUUCUUGUAACAUGGAUCUACUCAUUUCUUGUAGAGUUCUGUUUUUCCUUUCAACAACUCCAUUCUGAGGGGGUGCUUGGGGAAAAGCAAAUUCAUGUUUUAUUCCAUGAAUUUUGCAAAAUUCUUCAAACUCAGAGUUCUCGAAUUCUCCUCCAUGAUCACUUCUGAUUCUUUUUAUGAGGACAUCCUUCUCAUUUUGUAUACGUGUACAAAAUGAUGAGAACUCGUUGAAUGAGUCACUUUUAUUUCGUAAGAAGAAAACCCAAGUAAAUCUUGAGUAAUCAUCUACUAUUACAUACGUAAACCUUUUACCACCAAAACUUUGGGUUUGGGUUGGCCCAAAUAAGUCCAUGUGUAAAAGUUCCAAAGGUCUGGACGUAGUAAUAUCUGUAAGGGAUUUGAAUGAGCUUUUAUGCUGUUUCCCCUUCUGACAAGCAUCACAGAGAUUACUUUUCUCAUAUGCUAUUUUAGGCAGUCCAGUUACCAGUUCUUCUUUUGAUAGUUUGGAUAAUCGAGAAUAACUGGUGUGACCUAACCUUCUAUGCCAUAAAGUCUUUUCAUCACUUGCUGCAAUCAUGCAGAAGUCAUGAGUUGGCUUGGAGGGAUUAAAGGUUAUGGAAUAAGCAUUGUUUUUCCUAUAUCCUUUAGCAAUUAUAACUCCCUUGGAGUUAAUGAUUGAGCAUAGAUGUUUUUCAAAUUUAACUGUGCAAUCAUUAUCACAUAAUUGACUUAUGCUGAUAAGAUUAUGUUUAAGGUCAUUAACUAAGUAAACAUCUCUAAGAAAUGGUCUAUCUAUAUUACCUAUAUUACCUAUAUUACCUAUAUUACCCCUACCUAUAAUGGUACCUUCGUUGUUAUCGGCGAACUUGACCUUCUUAGUAGUAGGCCAGUCGGUCAAGUCUGUCAGCAGACUUGAAUCUCCAGUCAUGUACCUUGUGCAUCCACUGUCGAACAGCCAUUUUGACACAUGUUUUUCCUGAAAGAGUUGAAUAACCUUUUGGUACCCAUACUGAGUUGGGUCCAGAUGAAUUAACAUAGUUGAUUUGCUUAUAAUUUUUUAACUCAUCCUUGGUCAUCCAUUUUUGUUUUGGAUGAUUCAUCUUAGACAUAUUUUUCUUUUUCUUAAGAUGAAUAGGUUUUCUGUAGCUAGAUUCUCUUACAAAAUAAUUAUAAGUUAAAGCAUGUAAAGGUUUUUUAAUAGGUGCACUUGAUUCAAACCCUAAGCCAAAUUUCUUUUGACCUGAGCUUGAACCUUGCAAUAUGUCAUUUNNNNNNNNNNNNNNNNNNNNNNNNNNNNNNNNNNNNNNNNNNNNNNNNNNNNNNNNNNNNNNNNNNNNNNNNNNNNNNNNNNNNNNNNNNNNNNNNNNNNUGCAUAUCAUUACAUUUUUCAGAUAAUUUUUGUAUGGUUUCUACAUGCUCAAGUAUGAUUUUGUCAUUAGAUUUUAUUUCUGUUUUGAGCAUGAUUGUUUCGUUUUCUUUUAACAUAAUAUCUUCUUCAAAAUUAUCUAUUUUUAAUUCUAGCAAUUCAAUCUUAUCAUCAUCCAUUUCCUUAGAUUGAUUUUCUUCAUAUUCUAAAAUGUUAAGCAAUUCAAAGUUUUGACUCUUAAGUAUCUUAAUUUUUUCUUCAUCUUUGUUUAAUUUACUUGUGAGUUUUAGAUUUCUUUCUUUCAAUUGCAUGCAUUCUUUUUGUGAUUCUUCUAAUUCAAUAGAUUNNNNNNNNNNNNNNNNNNNNNNNNNNNNNNNNNNNNNNNNNNNNNNNNNNNNNNNNNNNNNNNNNNNNNNNNNNNNNNNNNNNNNNNNNNNNNNNNNNNNCAUUAAUUCUAGAUAUGCUUCUUCUAAAUAAUUAAAUCUAGUAUUUGCAAAACUUACCUCAGAGUUGCUUUCAUGAGCCAUGAGACAAUCUUCUUGAUCCGAGUCGGAGUCUGUCCAUUGUGCCUGAUUUGCUCUUUCUUUCUUUAGCAGAGGACAUUCUGGUUUGAUGUGUCCAGACUUGUCGCAUAGAUAACAGAUUGGUUCUUAAUUUUGACUCCUUGCUCAUUCUUCUGUCGAACUUCUGAUGACUUGACCUUGAGUCUUUCUUCUCUUUCCUCUUUUUCAGAUAUCUUCUCAGAUGAUUGGUGAUCAUUGCUAGAUCAUCUUCUGAUGUUUCAUUGUCAGAUUGACUUUUAAGAGCAAUAUCCUUUUUCUCUUUUUUAGCUCUAGAGAUGAAUCUUUCUUCUUCAUAGGCCAUCAGAUUUCCACAGAGUUCCACAACUGUAAGUUUGUUAAGAUCAUGAGCCUCUUGGAUAGCAUUCCUUUUGGAGUAGUACUUGUUUGGAAGGCUCCUCAGAAUGAGGGGAUUACCCUUCUAUUUAUAGCCUUGGUCACUCAAUGUCCACCCUUGGAUCUUCAAUGGAUGGCUCCUUGAUUUCUCACAUAAAUCCAAACUUUGUCUUUGAUCUUAUCUUGAAUAGUGCUUUUCUUGGAUAGAGUUUGUUGGAGAAUCUUAUCUUUGUAUAAAUUCAAACUUAAAUAGUGUUUUGUCCUCUUAGAAUAUUAUACCUUAAAUAAAGUGUCAAAAGAUAAUAAUAAUAAUAAUAUUCAAGGUAAAAAUGCAAUUAUUCCAAAUAAUAAUAUUCAAGGUAAAAAUGCAAUUCUCCCAAUUUGACUUUUUAACUUUGACUUAAACCCUUAACUCAAAUGAUUAAUUAAUUAACUGGAGUUAGGUUUAAUAUCGAUUAACUUAUUUACCCCCCUUAUUGAUUAAUAGUGUAAUUAGGGUUUAAAUUGACAUGAUUAAAAUAUAAUCCUAUAUCGACAAUUUUGAUUCUACAACAACUUCUGGCCAAAGCGACAGAAGAGUCGGGGAGAGCUUGUGAUAUACUCCCCCCCGAGAUGUAACGACUUCCGACCGGAGCGACAGAAGUGUUGGAGAGAGUUUGUGAUACUCCCCCCCCGAGAUGUAAUGACUUCCGGCCGGAGCGACAGAAGUGUUGGAGAGAGUUUGUGAUACUUCCCUCCCCCCGAGAUGUAACGACUUCUGGUCGAAGCGACAGAAGUGUUGGAGAAAGUUUGUGAUACUCCCCCUCCCCCGAAAACAUGCCCGUGAGGCAGUUUUGCUGAUGUUUACCCUGAGUCGGCGAUUAGAUGUCCCAAUCGGCCGCUCCGGGGUUGGGGUAGUUGUGAGGGAAAUUCUGAAAUUUUACCCUCUUGAGUCGGCGAUUCCUUCGGGGAAUUGACGCCUUCUGCUGUGAACUGUUGGAUCUUUUUAGAAGAUCCUCGGGAUUUUGGAGAAUAUUUGCAAAUUUCCCAGAUAAGGAAAUUUUUCUGCCAAUUUUUGCAAAUCAUUGCCUGGAGUCUGCAACUCCUCCAAGGAAUCGUCGACUCUGCGUGAUUUUCGGGAUUUGAAGAUCAAUUUCCGAUCUCCCUCCUUGCAAUUUUUGGAUUUUCCGGGGGGUUUUGCAAUUUUCCCAAGGGCUAUAAAUAGUGGUGAGAUUUUUUUAACUCUCACUUCACUUUCCCCAAUCGCCUAAAACCCUAGUUUCUCCAGUCGCCGACUCCUCUCACGAAUCGACGAUUCCUUGUUCAAUCGAUGGCUAGAACCAACCCUUUAGUUCUUCGACUUUCCGAUGUCGAGACUGAUGAAAUGAUUCAGGAGCUGGCCACCGGAGGUAACUUGGUCGGGGUGUUGAACACCGUUGAGUCGCCGCUUCCGACUCCGCCCAGAGAGGGUUCUUCCCUCCUUAGUCCGGACUCGGUGAUCCGGUGAUCGCACCUUCCGACCCGAACAUGAGUGCCGCGGUGCACGAACUGCUCGAGACCUUGCCCGAGUCGACGAUUCUGAGAGAGGCUCCUGCGGGCGUGACCGGGGCCGAACUUGAGGCGGGUGAAAUUCCUGGACCCACCACUAAGUCGAUGAAUCCUCCUGUGGAGUCGCCGAGUCAGAGGGUGCCCAAGAAAAAAGCCCUCUUCAAGAGGAGGACAAGACUGGACGCAGACUCGGAAGCGUCGAACAUACGCUAUGAGUCGUCGACUUAGAUAGUUAAAUCGACGAUUCCGGAAGUUGAGUCGGCGAUUCCCAUUCAGACUAUUGAUAAUUCAAUUCCAAUUGUUGAACCUCAUCCCGACUCACUCGUAAUAAACUCUGAGGGUGUCAUCAUUUCUGAGAUGAACCCUAACAAGCGACCAUGCGAGGAUGAUGGUCCAAGGAGGAAAAAGAAGAGACGAAGCCAUGGGAAGGGGAAACUUUAUAUUCCCGGUGAGGAAGAGAGGGUCCACAAUCCUCACAACCUGAAUUUCGACGAAGAAUUGGUUGUGGACCGUGACGAGGCUCGACCCUCUUCUAGUACGGGUCCCUCUCGCGUAGUAUCUGACGGAGCGAGAACUCCUCCUCCCCCCAUUGAACUUGACAAGGGUCGCGACAAGUAUGCCGACUUCCCGCAUUAUGUUGAAACGACAAACCUGACCGGGUUUGCCCAUUGUGAAGAGGUUGUUAAUGGUAUUAUUCGCUUGCUCCCCGUGGACUCCUCAGGCAGGGUGAAUACGAGCAAGUAAUGACUACUGCAACGCUUACGCAUCACGGACCAUUGCAUCCUCCUUUUGUUGUGAAUGCGAGCAAAGCUCGAAAUCUCUUAAGAGGGAUGAGGAUAUCGGAUCAUCGAAGAUUUUGGUUAUCGCAAUACCAGCCUGCGAGUCUCCCACCACCGGGAUUCCAGGCUCUGCCGAAGAUGUAUUUCAAGCACUUCACCGAGCUCCCCAUUCCUGCAUUAAUGAGUGAGGUCGUGCUUGCAACCAGAGUGUCGCUGUCGCAACUUCCAGCGGCAUUUUUAUAUGCUUCCAAGGAUUCUCCAACAUCUGUUGGAGUCUUAACAUAACUGCUACUACGCGUUUGUUUCUGUGGUAUUACAAGUUGUGUAAAGUUGCUAAGUCUGAAUCUGGUCGGGUUGGACUAACGCGAAGAAUGUUUAGUCGCAACCUUGUUGGUGACCUCCCUUCAAACCACGGGGUGUGGAAGAAGGAAUUUAUUUUUGUAUAAUCGGAAUUUCUUCCCGGAAGUUGGGAGGAUUGGAUAGACAUCAACCGUGUGCAUCUGGAUGUCUCAAUGGGUUUGUUGGCGGUUGACGUGAUUGCCGCUGACACAAUUUCCGAGGCUCUCAAGGCCCACAAUCUGCCGCGUGGGAUUCCUUUCAUCCUCUGUCAGCGUGAGGAUUUUACAUUUGAAGAUGUGAAGGAGGCCAGAAAACCUCCAAGCCCUAUUGAACUGGAGACUGGGAAGAAAAAGCGUACGCUUGUGUAUUUUGAUGUUGCCCCUCUUCACAUGGCGGACCGAUUCAGGAAGGCCAAACUGAUCAGGCUCUCGAACUCUAAAAGUUCAGAGCCUCGGAGCACUUUUGAGAAGGGCUCAACUUCUCGAUCAGUAUCUGGAGGUCCUGGGUUCCUUAUAACUGUACCUUCAACUUCCUGGAGUUGAUUGCGGAUCCCCAGGUUCGAGCGGAUGCACUCACGCUACUGAUGACGAAGCCCGGGGAUUAGAUUAGAACCGAGCUCAUAAAAGCUCUGAAUUCUAUAAGUUAUUUAUUUUCUAAAUUUUUUCGCUUGCACUCUUACUAAUGUUUUUUUUUUGUAGGCUUGCUAUAUGGCCCAUGCGUGCUUUGGUAUGAGUUCUCUGAACGACUCUCUCAAAGCGCAGGAGAAGUACAACCAAUUGGAUACCAAGUACAUGGAGAGUCAGAAGCAACUACAUAAGCUGAGGAAUGUCAAAGCCAAGCUCGUCAACUAUCAAGAGAAUGUUGUUCCUAAAAAGGACAAGACCAUAGAUUCUCAGAAAAAAGAGCUUCACGAGUAUAAAAAUAUAACUGAAAUAUAGGGUAAAUAAGCAAUUUACCAUAAGAAACAAGCUUAGGACCUAAAUAAAAUAUAAAUAACCCAAGGGUUAUGACAAAACAGAAUAAACUGUUUUCUUAUAAACUAACAGGGGUUCUUUUAUAAAUAUUUCAAUAAACAUAUUAUUUGG
rnacentral:lncRNA from 1 species